UGGACUCUCAUCUUAACAUGAUGGCCUGUUGGACGGGACUGCUCCUCUUAACUCUCUGCUUAGCAGGUGUUAAUAGUCAGACUCUGACAGAAUCUGAACCAGCAGUUAAACGACCUGGAGAGUCUCACAAACUGACCUGCACAACCUCUGGACUGUCAUUCAGCAACUGGGGGAUGGCCUGGAUCAGACAGGCUCCUGGAAAAGGACUUGAGUGGAUUGCUACUGAAGCACUUAGCAGUGGCAAAUACUACUCACAGUCAGUCCGAGGCAGGUUUACUGUCUCCAGAGACAACAGCAGAGAGCAGCUGUAUCUGCAGAUGAACGGCCUGAAGACUGAAGAUUCUGCUGUUUAUUAUUGUGCUCGAGAGUCACAGUGAGAGGAGUUGAUUCAGCAGCUGUACA